rnacentral:rRNA from 1 species
AAUUGAAGAGUUUGAUCAUGGCUCAGAUUGAACGCUGGCGGCAGGCCUAACACAUGCAAGUCGAGCGGUAACAGGGGAAGCUUGCUUCUCGCUGACGAGCGGCGGACGGGUGAGUAAUGUAUGGGGAUCUGCCCGAUAGAGGGGGAUAACCACUGGAAACGGUGGCUAAUACCGCAUAAUCUCUUUGGAGCAAAGCAGGGGAACUUCGGUCCUUGCGCUAUCGGAUGAACCCAUAUGGGAUUAGCUAGUAGGUGAGGUAAUGGCUCACCUAGGCGACGAUCCCUAGCUGGUCUGAGAGGAUGAUCAGCCACACUGGGACUGAGACACGGCCCAAACUCCUACGGCGAGGCACCAGUGGGGAAUAUUGCACAUUGGGCGCAAGCCUGAUGCAUCCCCGCCUCGUGUCUGAAGAACGUCUU